GCCCCGGCUAACUUCGUGCCAGCAGCCGCGGUAAUACGAAGGGGGCUAGCGUUAUCCGGAUUUACUGGGCGUAAAGGGUGCGUAGGCGGUCUUUCAAGUCAGGAGUGAAAGGCUACGGCUCAACCGUAGUAAGCUCUUGAAACUGUAAGACUUGAGUGCAGGAGAGGAGAGUGGAAUUCCUAGUGUAGCGGUGAAAUGCGUAGAUAUUAGGAGGAACACCAGUUGCGAAGGCGGCUCUCUGGACUGUAACUGACGCUGAGGCACGAAAGCGUGGGGAGCAAACAGGAUUAGAUACCCUGGUAGUCCACGCCGUAAACGAUGAGUACUAGCUGUCGGAGGUUACCCCCUUCGGUGGCGCAGCUAACGCAUUAAGUACUCCGCCUGGGAAGUACGCUCGCAAGA
rnacentral:rRNA from 1 species